GCAAGCGUUAAUCGGAAUUACUGGGCGUAAAGCGCACGCAGGCGGUUGAUUAAGUUAGAUGUGAAAUCCCCGGGCUUAACCUGGGAAUGGCAUCUAAGACUGGUCAGCUAGAGUCUUGUAGAGGGGGUAGAAUUCCAUGUGUAGCGGUGAAAUGCGUAGAGAUGUGGAGGAAUACCGGUGGCGAAGGCGGCCCCCUGGACAAAGACUGACGCUCAGGUGCGAAAGCGUGGGAGCAAACAGGAUUAGAUACCCUGGUAGUCCACGCUGUAAACGAUGUCGAUUUGGAGGUUGUGCCCUUGAGGCGUGGCUUCCGGAGCUAACGCGUUAAAUCGACCGCCUGGGGAGUACGGCCGCAAGGUUAAAACUCAAAUGAAUUGACGGGGGCCCGCACAAGCGGUGGAGCAUGUGGUUUAAUUCGAUGCAACGCGAAGAACCUUACCUAUCUUGACAUCCAGAGAAU
rnacentral:rRNA from 1 species